rnacentral:lncRNA from 1 species
AGACUCUAUACUCUAAUUUCUCAUUUAAAAGAAAUUGGACUCUUACAAAAUAAACAUGAUAUGAACCCAGAAUUUAACUUACUAUUUUCUUACUGUUAUCCCAAAGACAUUACAUGAUAUUGAACACUUUGAGGUAAUUAUGGUACUGGGGGAGCAUAAUUGUUCCUACUAAUAGAAACAAAAUACUAAGGAUUUUUCUAGAAACUCUUAAGAGCCAUUUACCUGGCUAAGGAUUUUUCUAGAAACUGUCCUUUCAAGAGCCAUUUACCUGGAAUAAAAGUGAUGUGUAUGAUAAACAGUUGGCUAUACAGACCCAAGAUGAAAUUCAAAAUAUGACUUCUGAAAAUUCUGAAUUCAAAAUCAAGUUUUUGAUACUUUAGGAUCAGCUAGAUGAUCAUCAUAAAUUUGUCUCCUUUCCACUUCAAUUUUUUUUCAUCUUCACCAAUCUACACUAUAUUCAAGCCAACUUACCAUUUCCCUUACUCCGUUUUCCCUGCAACUUCCCUAAGCUGUUAGUGUUAUUGUACUACUCUUCUUUAUGCCACUUAGGCUUGAAUUCUUGGCCCAAUUUCUCUCACUUCUGCAUGAAGUCACCAAAUGCCAGUGAUUCUGCUUCUAACAUAUUUCAGACAUCAUUUCUGUCCAUUCCCACUACCAGAAAGAAACUCUGUGUUAGUUUUUCUUUUACCUUUAUUGACUUUUUAUAAUAGCAUUUAUGGCGUGUUGAAUUGUGGCCCCCCAAAAAUAUGUCCAAGUCUUAACCCUGGUGCCUAUAAAUGUGACCUUAUUUGGGAAAAGAGUCUCACAGAUGAAAUUAAGUUAAAGAUCUUACCCUGGAUUAACCAGGUAGAUGCUAAAUCGAAUAAAAAAGUGUCUGUACAGGAAGAGAAGAGGAGAAUCACAGAGAAGAAAGCCAUGUGAAGAUGGUAACAGACACUGGAGUCUGUAACCCCAAGUGUAAUGCGACGGGUUCUCCACCAGGUUACUUAAGGGUGUAUGUCCACUGCUUGAGCCCUGAAGACUGGGUGGUGAGCCAAGGUCAUGGUGCUCAGCCAAGGAACACCAUGUGCUGUGUUCCCUGAGAACACAAACAUUUGGGAGAGUACCUGGGGACAUACCAAGAAAAACACUCAUCACACACAGAGAAGAAAAGCCAGAAAAUUAGCUUAAAAGCAGCUUGAAGAUGGGUGGGGUAAGGGGGUGUGUGGGGCAAAUCUCCAGAGUUGUCCUGCUACCACCUAGGAAUGCCCUGUAUGUUAAGUCCUAAUAAACUCACCUACUCAUC